rnacentral:rRNA from 1 species
GGGGCGGACAAUGUGCCGAGAAAAGCUGCUGGUUGUUCCCCGGAGCGCCCGUACCGCAAACCGACACAGGUGGGUGAGUCGAGUAGACUAAGGCGCGCGAGAGAAACCUUUCUAAGGAACUCUGCAAAAUAGCCCCGUAACUUCGGGAGAAGGGGUGCCCAACGCAAGUUGGGUCUCAGUAAAUUGGGUUUAGCGACUGUUUAACAAAAACACAGCACUCUGCCAAGUCGUGAAGACGACGUAUAGGGUGUGACACGUGACCAAUGCGGAAAGAUCAAGGUGAGUUGUUAGCCGCAAGGCGAAGCUCCGAGCCUAAGUCCCCGUGAAUGUCGGCCGUAACUAUAACGGUCCUAAGGUAGCGAAAUUCCUUGUCGGGUAAGUUCCGACCUGCACGAAUCGUGUAACGACUGAACCGCUGUCUCGGAGAGGAUCUCGGCGAAAUUGUAACUGCGGUGAAGAUGCCGCAUGCCCGCAGUAGGACGGAAAGACCCUAUGCACCUUUACUGUAAGCUGAUAUUGUGUUCUGGUUCAUGAUGCGUAGCGUAGGUGGGAGGCGUUGAUGCCACGGUUUAGGCCGUGGUGGAGCUGAAAUGUGAAACACCACUCUUUGUGAAUUAGGAUUCUAACCUCCGCCUGUUAGCCAGGGGAGGGACAGUGUCUGCGGGUCAGUUUGGCUGGGGCGGCUUCCUCCCAAAAAGUAACGGAGGAGCGCGAAGCUGGGCUCAACAUGGUUUGCAACCAUGUGUCGAGCGUAUGGGUAUAAGCCCGGUUAACUGCAAGACCUACAAGUCGAGCAGAUGCGAAAGCAGGCCCAAAUGAUCCGACGGUGGAAUGUGGAAUUGCCGUCGCUCAACGGACAAAAGGUACGCUAGGGAUAACAGGCUGAUCGAUUCCAAGAGUUCAUAUCGACGAAUCGGUUUGGCACCUCGAUGUCGGCUCAUCGCAUCCUGGGGCUGGAGAAGGUCCCAAGGGUCCGGCUGUUCGCCGGUUAAAGCGGUACGCGAGCUGGGUUCAGAACGUCGUGAGACAGUUCGGUCCUUAUCCACUGUGGGCGCAGGAAACUUGAGGGGUUCAUUCCCUAGUACGAGAGGACCGGGAAUGACGCGCUUCUGGUGUGGCAAUUGUAUCGUCAGAUGCAUCGUUGCGUAGCCAUGCGCGGAAGAGAUAAGCGCUGAAAGCAUCUAAGCGCCAAGCUCCUCCCAAGAUAUGGUUUCCCUGUCGCAAGACACUAAAGGCCCCCGGAAGACCACCGGGUUGAUAGGUUGGGCGUGCACAACAAGCAAUUGUUUUAGCGGACCAAUACUAAUCGGCCGUGAGGCUUGAUCGC